GCCGCAUCAUGGGCAACGGCUUCGUGAGUGGGGCGGGCUCGGGUGUGUGAGGGGUGCGGGGGGCGGCUCCCUUGUAGCACUGUGGUGACAAGUACAGCUGGAGGCAGCGCUCUGCUCACACAGCCCAGGCUGGGGCCGGGGGUCUCCCCUGGGGUCGAAGGUAGCCCUCGUGGCCUCUCGGACCCCAUCUGGAAAUGACUGACCCCAGGCACCCUCCGUAGAGCACAGGGUGAAGGAACUCAGCCUGAGAGGCCUCCAGUUUCUGCAUCUGUGCCCAGCUUCGAGGCGGGCUGCAUGCUGUUCCCCCACAUCUCCCCCUGUGAGGUGCGCGUGCUCAUGCUCCUGUACUCGUCCAAGAAGAAAAUCUUCAUGGGCCUCAUCCCCUACGACCAGAGUGGCUUCGUCAGUGCCAUCCGGCAGGUCAUCACCACCCGCAAGCAGGCAGUGGGACCUGGUGGUGUCAACUCAGGCCCAGUCCAGAUCGUCAACAACAAGUUUCUGGCAUGGAGUGGCGUCAUGGAGUGGCAGGAGCCCAGGCCUGAGCCCAACAGUCGGUCCAAGAGGUGGCUGCCAUCCCACGUCUACGUGAACCAGGGGGAGAUCCUGUGAGUGCUGGGCUAGGGGGUGGAGGCAGCAUCCAGGGGAGCUGGGGCUUCCUGACCCUCGUCCCCUUGUGCCCCACAGGAGGACCGAGCAGUGGCCAAGGAAGCUGUACAUGCAGCUCAUCCCACAGCAGCUGCUG
rnacentral:sRNA from 1 species